rnacentral:rRNA from 1 species
GAGUUUGAUCUUGGCUCAGGAUGAACGCUAGCGGCAGGCCUAACACAUGCAAGUCGAGGGGUAGAGGAAGCUUGCUUCCUUGAGACCGGCGCACGGGUGCGUAACGCGUAUGCAAUCUGCCUUGUACUAAGGGAUAGCCCAGAGAAAUUUGGAUUAAUACCUUAUAGUAUAUAGAUGUGGCAUCACAUUUAUAUUAAAGAUUUAUCGGUACAAGAUGAGCAUGCGUCCCAUUAGCUAGUUGGUAUGGUAACGGCAUACCAAGGCAAUGAUGGGUAGGGGUCCUGAGAGGGAGAUCCCCCACACUGGUACUGAGACACGGACCAGACUCCUACGGGAGGCAGCAGUGAGGAAUAUUGGUCAAUGGGCGCAAGCCUGAACCAGCCAUGCCGCGUGCAGGAUGAAGCAUCUAUGGUGUGUAAACUGCUUUUGUACGGGAAGAACAGCUCUUCGUGAAGAGCCUUGACGGUACCGUAAGAAUAAGGAUCGGCUAA